rnacentral:lncRNA from 1 species
GGGUAAUAUUUGAACUCAUAUACCGAAAGUCGAUCAAUAUUGAAAAAAAAUAAUAAUAAAAUAUUUUAUACUUAAAUCAGUGCAGUGAAACGUCACAUAAAGUAGCUUAGUCGACCAGUAAUAUAUAGGCUCACAAAGAUUAUAAAAUAUUAAAUUAAUGCAAUGAAAAAUUAAUGACAAGAUUACUUGUACGAAUAUUUUUUUUUAAUUUUUAGCUUGUGUCGAUAAUUUUUUUAAAUAUAAUCCCUUGCACAAAUUGUUUUUAUCUCAACUUAUAAUUUUCCCUAUUGAAAAGUUUCCGCACGAACUUUUUUUUAUUUCAACUUAUAAUUUUCCCUCUUGAAAAGUCUCUGCACAAAUUCUUUUUAUUUCAACUUAUAAUUUUCCCUAUUGAGAAGUCUCGUGCACAAUUUUUUUUUAUUUCAACUUAUAAUUUCCCUAUAGAAAAGUCUCUGCACAAAUGUUUUUUUAUUUCAACUUAUAAUUUUCCCUAUUGAAAAAUCUCUGCACGAAUUUUUUUUAUUUCAACUUAUAAUUUUCCCUAUUGAAAAGUUUCUACACAAUUUUUUUUAUUUCAACUUAUAAUUUUCCCUAUUGAAAAAUCUCUGCACAAUUUUUUUUAUUUCAACUUAUAAUUUUUCCUAUUGAAAAGUCUCUGCACGAAUUUUUUUUAUUUCAACUUAUAAUUUUCCCCAUUGAAAAAUCUCUGCACAAUUUUUUUUUUUAUUUCAACUUAUAAUUUUUCCUAUUGAAAAGUCUCUGCAUGAAUUUUUUUUAUUUCAACUUAUAAUUUUCCCUAUUGAAAAAUCUCUGCACAAAUUUUUUUUUAUUUCAACUUAUAAUUUUUCCUAUUGAAAAGUCUCUGCACGAAUUUUUUUUAUUUCAACUUAUAAUUUUCCCUAUUGAAAAGUCUCUGCACAAAUUUUUUUUUCAAACUUUCUUGGUGUACGAAUUUUUUUCUCUCUGUUUCCCCUGCGCAAUUUUUUCCCUUUCACCCCCCCCCCCCAUUUUUUUUCUAAUGGUCCGCCCCUUGGGCAAGUUUAAUAUUACGAAUAAUAAAAGUCUAACUAAAUGCAAUAACAAGAUUACAUGAUAUACUACUAUUAAAAAAUUAUAUCGCAAUAGAAGUAAGUGUUGUGAGCUAUAAAUAAAAGAACGCGUAAUCAGGCAAUAUCCAGUCAGAUACGCUUUGCACAGAGUUAAAACUUUACAUUAAGAAUCGAAAGGAAGCAUGUCACCAAUGAAGAUUUACGCGUUUUGUUUUCUCCUUAUCCUUGCUCCGUUGUUGGUGACAAGUGCACCAUUAUUCUGGAAGGUAAUAAAAUUCAAACUUGUUGUUGUGGGAAACAUUGCUUCCUAACCAUGUAACCCAAACAAAGUGGGCAAACCAGGAAACAUUAUUUCCUUGCCAGGUUUCCAAAAGAUGACAAACCAGGAAACGUUAUUUCCUAUACACAUGUUUCUUAAUAAAGGUGGGCGAACCAAGAAACAAUAUAUAUGCACGUUUCCUAUAGCUAUGGUUCUUAAAAGAGGACAAACUAAGAAACAUUGUUUCUUCGCCAUGUUUCCUAGCCAUGAUUCCUGAAGAUGGGCAAACCAAGAAACAUACAUGCAUGAGUUUCCCAUGUUCCGCAAUGGUAACCCUGGACACAUAGUUUUCUAGCCAUGUUUCCCAAAGGUAGACAAACUAGGGAACAUUGUUUCCUAGCAAUCCACACAUGUUUCUUGAAGGUGACCAAACCAGGACACGGCAUGGGCAACCCUGGUGAUAUUGUUCCCUAUUGCCAUGUUUCUUAAGGUGUGCAAACCAAGAAACAUUGUUUCCUAGCCAUGUUUCUUGAAGAUGGGCGAACAACGAAACAGUGUUUCCUGGCCAUGUUUCCCGAAAGUGAACGAGCAAGGAAACGUUUGCUUCCUACUCCAAAAAAUUGUUUUCCAAAGGUGCGAAAACCAAGAAUUAUCUGAACAAUUUUUAACAUUUUAAUUUGUAUUACCCUCUAUAUUACAGAUUUGGAAUUGUACAUUGCACCAAGGAUGUAAUAAUAAUUUGGAUUGCUCCUGUCUUUUCAAAAAGUUGGUAUGCACCGCUGAAAAC